UACAGAGGGUGCGAGCGUUGUUCGGAAUUAUUGGGCGUAAAGGGUGCGUAGGCGGCCACUUAAGUCCUGCGUGAAAUCCUGCGGCUCAACCGCAGGCGGUCGUGGGAAACUGGGUGGCUAGAGUGCGGGAGAGGAGAGUGGAAUUCCCGGUGUAGCGGUGAAAUGCGCAGAUAUCGGGAGGAACACCAAUGGCGAAGGCAGCUCGCUGGGACGUGACUGACGCUGAGACGCGAAAGCGUGGGGAGCAAACAGG
rnacentral:rRNA from 1 species